GGAUUGCAGCAUGUAGUAGUGGAUCACAGCAUGAAGUAGUGGAAAUCAAUCAGUAGCAGCAGAUAACAGCAGGUAGUAGCAGAUAACAGCAUGUAGUAGCAGAUAACAGCAUGUAGUAGUGGAUCACUUUGGAUACCAGCUGUAAAACAGUUGAAAUGGUUAAUUGUACACAAAAAAGCUGACAUCCUCUACAGUCAAAGUUAGUAUCAUCACAC